GACAACACUAAGGUUGUUGGACUUAUGCGGUACCCUCCGCGUAGCGACUAGAACUCGCAUUGGGCUCUUAAUAAGGAGAAAACAAAAUG
ncrna:unclassified sequences freshwater-2 RNA